rnacentral:rRNA from 1 species
CCGCCCGUUCCCUCCCGCACCUUAUCCUUCCCUGAUCCCCCGUACAAAAACCACUCCUUUCCCUCUAUGUGACCCACCCAACCCCAAGCACCGCAGCCGGCCACACUCCUUCCUCCUCCAGCGCCAAGAACUCGACAACCACCGGAGGUUCAGCCGAGCUCGACCGAUGGCGUCGCUCUCCGUGGCCACGCUCCCGCAGCUCGCCGGCGCGCCGGCGGCGGCGGCGGCGAAGAAGAGGUCCGGCGUGACGUACGUGGAGGGCAUGAACGCCUACAGCGGCCUCAAGGGGCUCAACAAGGUGACCAUGCUGGGCGUGCGCAAGAGCGCCGACUACAAGUUCGCCAGGAUCGUGGCGUCGCUCAGCCCCGCGGGGAAGAGGCGCGGGGGCUCGUUUGGCGCGCAGUGCAACGCCGCCGGGGAGAUCUUCCAGAUCGCCGUCGUCAUGAACGCGCUCACGCUCGUCGGCGUCGCCGUCGGCUUCGUGCUGCUCCGGGCCGAGGCGGCCUUCGAGGAGUCGGAGGAGUGAGUGAAACCCAACCCAACGCCGUGUGCCUGCCCUGACCAGCCGUUUCAGUUCAGUUCAGUUCAGGCUGCUGUUUGGCUGGCGCGUAAGCCGUGAUAUAUAAAACGUGAUGUAUGCUAUUUUACAUUUGGUUUUGUAUCAAUGACAAUCGAUUGAUGAAUACCCCGGAAACACAUUUUUGGAGGCUCAGCCCUGCAAAUUUGUCUCUCGAUUGUUCGCUGCUUGUCUGAUUCUUCUCUAGGAAGAGUACACUUCGAAAGGGGAAAUGUUUUUCGGAAAAGAAAAGAGGAAAAUGUUAUGCAAGACUGAUAACACAAUGUUCAAAAGUCAUAAUGCAACAAUAUCUGACACCUUGCAAACCCAAGUCAUAUAUACUACUCCCUCCGUCCCAUAAUAUAAGACGUUUUUUGACUUAGUAUAGUGUCAAGAAACGUCUUACAUUAUGGAACGGAGGGAGUACUUGAUAGCAAGGUGGAAAUGCGGAACAAAAGUGUAUUCUCUCUUCAGGCUCAUUCGACUCACAAGAAUGGAGGUACUAGAUUCCUUAUGAUGAUUAUGCC